UACGUAGGGGGCUAGCGUUGUCCGGAAUCAUUGGGCGUAAAGAGCGUGUAGGCGGCUAGGUAAGUCCGCUGUGAAAGUCCAGGGCUCAACCCUGGAAUGCCAGUGGAUACUGUCAAGCUAGAGUCCGGAAGAGGCGAGUGGAAUUCCUGGUGUAGCGGUGAAAUGCGCAGAUAUCAGGAGGAACACCAAUGGCGAAGGCAGCUCGCUGGGACGGUACUGACGCUGAGACGCGAAAGCGUGGGGAGCAAACAGG
rnacentral:rRNA from 1 species